AGGACGAACGCUGGCGGCGUGCUUAACACAUGCAAGUCGAACGAGGCGCUUGCGCCUAGUGGCGAACGGGUGAGUAACACGUGAGCAACCUGCCCUUGGCUCUGGGAUAGCCUCCGGAAACGGGGAUUAAUACCGGACAUGACCUUCUCCUGCAUGGGGGAGGGUGGAAAGUUUUUCGGCCAGGGAGGGGCUCGCGGCCUAUCAGCUUGUUGGGGGGUAACGGCCCACCAAGGCGACGACGGGUAGCCGG
rnacentral:rRNA from 1 species